CUCUGGUGUACGAGGAUUUGUGAAGGCCUGCAGUUGGCAGAAUGAAUCUGUGGAGAUGGUUUAAAAGAACGGUUUCACUGAUGAAGAUGAAGAAAGACCAUCUUCUCUGGGACUUGGGCUGUCACGCGUAUUAGGUGCACAGAAUGGAACCUGUCCCACUGUAGGUGCCCGAGAAGUCUUUGUUAAUUUGAAUUCCCGCCCGAUGGAAUUGUUACUCUAGUACCGCAUUUCAGCAAGGCUCUUCUCGAUCAAAUAGCACAAUAUCAAACAGGUCUGGCCACGUGGCACUAAUGGACAACCCAUACAUUUGGAGAGACUCCAAGAAAUCCAUCCCAAGCACUGAAUGCUCCUGGCCCUGUUCCAGAAUUUCACUAACCUUCCACAAAUUGUGAUUCCAGACACGUUCUUACCUUGGCCCCCAGGAUAAUGGAAGCCACAAAAGAGACAGAAAUUAAAAUGUCAGCCCAGCUGGGCCCACAGCAAUUUCAAUGGAACCCAUUGCCUCUUCGAUCACCUGAGUGUAGCACAUCUGUGCCGCUUGCAGAAGGGAUAGCAAAAUAAUCCAGAGCAGUUAUUUUAGAUGUCUCUUUAACUCAGUGUUAACACAGUUGCUACUUAACAACAGCAACUAAGAUUUUAAUAAGCGACAGGAAAAUUUUUAAAAACAAGGUGAGAAGCAGAGAUCAGAAUUCUGAUGAGCUUUGUAAUUCAGCAACCACUGCCAUCACUCAAAACCUAAAUAACCUGAAAUAUAUGAUCAAGGCUGGAGCGGCAAGUAAAAGAAAGUGUUGUUAUUCUCUGCCUGAGAAAAGGGUAUCACCCAAACCUUUUCACCUACUGCAGAUUCUGAAAGACGAGUAGUAUGCCAUGUCACUAUGGACAGAGAAAAGGAUGUCCACAGCCAAGGUGACAUCUGAGAGGUCAUAUACUUUGUGGGAUCAUGAUAGAAGUUCAAAACAUCAACCUGAGAAAAAUAAGUGAAACUGAUGACCAAGUGGGAAGUAUGGGUGGCACAAGGGAUUAAAUGGUGUGGGAAUCAAGACAUUGCUAAUCUCCUCACUUCCUCCUUUUUUUAUUCUUUAUAGACCCAGCCACUGAUAGGAGCUGCUGAUUUCACGUGAAGUGAUCUGUUGCUUUUUGUGCUCUGAAGGUGCUGAUUUCCAGUGUCUGCAAUGUCACAUCCAUGAGUUCUUCCAGCUUUGAAACUGAGCGCUCCAAGCAAGAGGAUCCCUUCUGCUGCUAUGCCAGGGAAACACUGAGAUUACUUCGGCCAAAAUAACAUUUCAGCCAGUUGACAUCCUAACUCAGAGAGGCAGCUAGUCAUAUUAACAAAGAAAACGAUGUUUGGUCAUAAAGGAGUGUGAUGAAACUUUCGCUUUAUCUUUUUCUAUCUCAAUACAACAAUAUGGAGACGAGUUAUUUUCUUAAAGUACUUGUCACCUGCUUGGUGAUUGUCAUUUUACUUGGCUGCCUUCUCUGCGAGAUUAUAGGCUUCAUAAGGACAG